rnacentral:lncRNA from 1 species
CUUUCGAGUCUCACAGGAGCAAGUUUGGUGAGUUAACGCGGGUUGGGGCUUUGCUUUGAUUUGGGGUGUUGGCGCCUUUGCUGCUCAGUCCAUCACCCACUACGUACUACUCCCAUAACCCUCUUCUUGUUUUCCAGCUUCAUGAUGUUGUUUAUUCAAAAUUCAGUUAAUUACUCACAUUGUUUCUCUAUGAAUGACGUGAAUUUUGCAAAUACUCUAAGGUGAUCAAAUACCUAGCUGGGAAAGAGCAGCAGCCAGAAGCUUGGUUGGGUCUAUCUGUAUGUGUCAGUUUAAGACUGUCAGUUAG